GAUGAACGCUGGCGGCGUGCUUAACACAUGCAAGUCGAACGAUGAAGCCCAGCUUGCUGGGUGGGUUAGUGGCGAACGGGUGAGUAACACGUGAGUAACCUGCCCUUAACUCUGGGAUAAGCCUGGGAAACUGGGUCUAAUACCGGAUAGGAGCGCCUACCGCAUGGUGGGUGUUGGAAAGAUUUAUCGGUUUUGGAUGGACUCGCGGCCUAUCAGCUUGUUGGUGAGGUAAUGGCUCACCAAGGCGCCGACGGGUAGCCGGCCUGAGAGGGUGACCGGCCACACUGGGACUGAGACACGGCCCAGACUCCUACGGGAGGCAGCAGUGGGGAAUAUUGCACAAUGGGCGAAAGCCUGAUGCAGCGACGCCGCGUGGGGGAUGACGGCCUUCGGGCUGUAAACCUCUUUCAGUAGGGAAGAAGCGAAAGUGACGGUACCUGCAGAAGAAGCACCGGCUAACUACGUG
rnacentral:rRNA from 1 species